CCUACGGGAGGCAGCAGUGGGGAAUAUUGGACAAUGGGGGAAACCCUUAUCCAGCGACGCCGCGUGAGUGAAGAAGGUUUUCGGAUUGUAAACCUCUGUCAGUGGGGACGAUAAUGACGGUACCAACGGAGGAAGCCACGGCUAACUACGUGCCAGCAGCCGCGGUAAUACGUAGGUGGCAAGCGUUGUCCGGAAUUACUGGGGGUAAAGGGAGUGUAGGCGGGUUGGCAAGUAAGAAGUGAAAAUUAUGGGCUUAACUUAGAACCUGCUAUUGAAACUGAUAUUCUUGAGUGAAGUAGAGGCUAGCGGAAUUCCUAGUGUAGCGGUGAAAUGCGUAGAUAUUAGGAGGAACACCAGUGGCGAAGGCGGCUUUCUGGGCUUUUACUGACGCUGAGGCUCGAAAGCGUGGGGAGCAAACAGGAUUAGAUACCCCAGUAGUC
rnacentral:rRNA from 1 species